CACGUAGGGUGCGAGCGUUGUCCGGAAUUAUUGGGCGUAAAGAGCUCGUAGGCGGUGUGUCGCGUCGGCCGUGAAAACUUGCAGCUUAACUGUGGGCGUGCGGUCGAUACGGGCAUCACUGGAGUUCGGCAGGGGAGACUGGAAUUCCUGGUGUAGCGGUGAAAUGCGCAGAUAUCAGGAGGAACACCGGUGGCGAAGGCGGGUCUCUGGGCCGAUACUGACGUGAGGAGCGAAAGCGUGGGGAGCGAACAGG
rnacentral:rRNA from 1 species